CUAGCGACUUCAGAGUUGUAUCCUGGCUCAGGAUGAACGCUGGCGGCGUGCUUAAUACAUGCAAGUCGAACGAAGCACUUACGACAGAUCCCUCGGGGUGAAGAUGUUUGUGACUUAGUGGCGGACGGGUGAGUAACGCGUGGGUAACCUGCCUCAUGCAGGGGGAUAACAGUUAGAAAUGACUGCUAAUACCGCAUAAGCGCACGUGACCGCAUGGUCGAGUGUGAAAAGAUUUAUCGGCAUGAGAUGGACCCGCGUCUGAUUAGGUAGUUGGUGAGGUAACGGCCCACCAAGCCCGCGAUCAGUAGCCGACUUGAGAGAGUGAUCGGCCACAUUGGGACUGAGACACGGCCCAG
rnacentral:rRNA from 1 species